rnacentral:tRNA from 1 species
AGUGUAUGUAAUUUAAAAAAAAUAUCAAGCUGUGACCCUGACAUUAGGAGUUAAACCUCAUACA